UGCGUAGGCGGCGCGGAAAGUUGGGUGUGAAAUCCCUCGGCUCAACCGAGGAACUGCGCCCAAAACUACCGUGCUCGAGGGAGAUAGAGGUGAGCGGAACUUAGGGUGGAGCGGUGAAAUGCGUUGAUAUCCUAAGGAACACCGGUGGCGAAAGCGGCUCACUGGAUCUCUUCUGACGCUGAGGCACGAAAGCUAGGGUAGCGAACGGGAUUAGACUACCCCGGUAGUCCUAGCCGUAAACGAUGAGCACUGGAUUGGAGGGUCCUCCAUAGCCUUCCAGUCGCAACGAAAGCGUUAAGUGCUCCGCCUGGGGAGUAUGGUCGCAAGGCUAGAA
rnacentral:rRNA from 1 species